UACGGGGGGGGCAAGCGUUGUUCGGAAUUACUGGGCGUAAAGGGCUCGUAGGCGGCCAACUAAGUCGGAUGUGAAAUCCCCAGGCUUAACCUGGGAACUGCAUCCGAUACUGGAUGGCUUGAAUCCGGGAGAGGGAUGCAGAAUUCCAGGUGUAGCGGUGAAAUGCGUAGAUAUCUGGAGGAAUACCGGUGGCGAAGGCGGCAUCCUGGACCGGCAUUGACGCUGAUGAGCGAAAGCGUGGGUAGCAAACAGG
rnacentral:rRNA from 1 species